CGGACGGGUGAGUAACACGUGGAUAACCUACCUAUAAGGCUGGGAUAACUUCGGGAAACCGGAGCUAAUACCGGAUAAUAUUUUGAACCGCAUGGUUCAAAAGUGAAAGACGGUCUUGCUGUCACUUAUAGAUGGAUCCGCGCUGCAUUAGCUAGUUGGUAAGGUAACGGCUUACCAAGGCAACGAUGCAUAGCCGACCUGAGAGGGUGAUCGGCCACACUGGAACUGAGACACGGUCCAG
rnacentral:rRNA from 1 species